GCGGCUCCUGAAGGUCAAAUAGAAUGAAAGUAAUGUUGAUAAACCAUUAGAAACAUUCCUGUAACCUGAUUUUCUGCUAGAGAACAAUGCUAAUUGUUGACCAUGUAAAUAUAUUUGUCCUCAUGUGGAUGUGUUUUAAAAGGACAUCGUCAUCAUCAGACCCGGACACUUUACUGAGCUCUUUACGGUCCAUAAAACCAAACUAUAUGAGCAUCCCUCUGAAUCCCAGUUAUCCCAGUAUGGAGAGUUAUAGUGGUUCCUUCCACUUCCUGCAGUGUGACCGUAUCGUCUCCAGCUUCACACAGUAAACCUGCAUCACAGAUUCAGCUUCAUCAUUUCACUCACAAACAUCAUCACAUCCUCAUCACAUGAAGUGCAUUAAAACUACACUGUGAUACAGAUCUGUGAGUGCAGAUGAUGCUGCAUUUAGACCUGAAAAUGCACAAACUUUACAUUUCAUAGAAUCAGAUUUGUUCUGUAGAAAAUAUAUUAUUAUUUACUACAGUAGUGCACCUAAGACCAGAUAUGGUAUAUUAUGGUAUACGUUGCCUUGCAAAAGUAUUCACUCCCUUAAAUUAUCAUGAGAUUUUAAUGAUAAAGUACAUUUUAAUUAAA